rnacentral:lncRNA from 10 species
AAACGCUUUCUUCCGAGCAGCACUGAGGAAGGGCGGUCUUCCCAGGCCUCAAUGGGGUCACAGAAGGCAGCUCCUAAGUCACAGAUAAGGAACUGGAGACUCAGAAAGGUUAUUCCAAGUUCCCCAAGGUCAUACAGCAGGUCCGAGGUGGAACUGAGAUUUCAACAAGGCCCACCUGACUUGGAACCCGGCUCCUGGACCACACCCGCACCCAUGUGUGUGCGUGAGCGUGUGCUUGCACGGGUAUGGAUGUGGUCUGCGUGUGAAAGUAGAUACUAGGAAAUGUACCAUCCUGGCUUCCUAUUGGAGAGAAGUAGGGAUAUUUGAGGAAGAGAUAAAACAUGUUUAAAAACAAUAAAUUCACAUAUCUCAAUGUUUUUUGUCUUCACAAAAAUCAAAGAAAAUAAAGGUAAAUACUCUUAAUGGUUGUUCAGAAUCCAAUAGUUUGUAUCUCUACGGUCAAGAAGGGUGAUUUAUCUGUACCUAUCCUUGUUUCUGAAUCAUUCCGCAUUUGGACCUGUGUUUAAAUAUCUUUCUGUCAAAAUUUCAGUCAUGCUUACAUCGAACAAUUCUCAAGGCCGAAUCCAUGUU